AAGCUGCUGAGAGAUUAUAAGAGACUGCAGCAUGGAGAUAAUAGAAUGCUCUGAAAUGCUGUGAUAUUCUUUUCCUGAUGAUAUGCCUUUGAACAAAGGAAGAGAGAAAAUUUGGAGCAGAGCUGGACAGCUGACUGAUUCUUUUCAACGUCUGCAUAUGUUUGCAGUAUCUCAUCCUCAGUUUCUAGGCCUGUUUAAGUGUCAUUUGCCAAUUUGAAGGCCUUUAUGCUCCCUUUCUUGAAAUAGAUUUUCAUAGCUCUAGUCUUACUAUGGUUGAUAGGAUUGUUUAUUACAUAUGGCUUGCUUUACUGCUUUCUGGUGUACCUCGAAAACAAAUUUCCUGUUGUAGUUGGCCUUAUAGACGGACUUUUGGUAUAGACAUCUGCAAGUGACAUGAUGAGAAAAUAUUGAACCAUGAAUACUGCUGUAUCCCCUGUACUGUCAUGCUGACCUGCUAUGGCCAGUUGGCAUAGAAGAUUUAGUGGAAAAGAGUGUAUUUUAAGGGCUUCUUUAGCUCAUUUGAAUCUACUUUGAUUCAGGGGAGAAAGGAAUGUUUAGAUGUGGCUAUUGCUUGCAUGAAUUUGUUAAUCAGCUUAGGGAUAUUUUGGUUACCUGGUUAAUAUCAUGCUAAAAGAUUCUUUCGGA